CUACGGGGGGCUCCAGUGGGGAAUAUUGCACAAUGGGCGCAAGCCUGAUGCAGCCAUGCCGCGUGUAUGAAGAAGGCCUUCGGGUUGUAAAGUACUUUCAGCGGGGAGGAAGGGAGUAAAGUUAAUACCUUUGCUCAUUGACGUUACCCGCAGAAGAAGCACCGGCACUCCGUGCCAGCAGCCGCGGUAAUACGGAGGGUGCAAGCGUUAAUCGGAAUUACUGGGCGUAAAGCGCACGCAGGCGGUUUGUUAAGUCAGAUGUGAAAUCCCCGGGCUCAACCUGGGAACUGCAUCUGAUACUGGCAAGCUUGAGUCUCGUAGAGGGGGGUAGAAUUCCAGGUGUAGCGGUGAAAUGCGUAGAGAUCUGGAGGAAUACCGGUGGCGAAGGCGGCCCCCUGGACGAAGACUGACGCUCAGGUGCGAAAGCGUGGGGAGCAAACAGGAUUAGAUACCCGAGUAGUC
rnacentral:rRNA from 1 species